GAAAUUGUACAUUCUUUUUUAUUUCUUCGUCGUCCCUCCAUUAUUUGAUGUGGGAUUUGUUUCUUCAUUUUCUUUUUCUUUUAC
rnacentral:ribozyme from 14 species